rnacentral:rRNA from 1 species
UACGGAGGGGGCUAGCGUUGUUCGGAAUUACUGGGCGUAAAGCGCACGUAGGCGGCUUUGUAAGUUAGAGGUGAAAGCCCAGGGCUUAACCCUGGAAUUGCCUUUAAGACUGCAUCGCUUGAAUCGUGGAGAGGUGAGUGGAAUUCCGAGUGUAGAGGUGAAAUUCGUAGAUAUUCGGAAGAACACCAGUGGCGAAGGCGGCUCACUGGACGACUGUUGACGCUGAGGUGCGAAAGCGUGGGGAGCAAACAGG